GCGCCUCUAGCUCAAUUGGCAGAGCACCUGACUCUUACUCAGGGGGUUCCGGGUUCGAUCCCCGGGGGGCGCA
rnacentral:tRNA from 1 species